AUCCAGCUGACGAGUUCCAAACAGGAUGAAACACGUGUCCUGGGU
rnacentral:hammerhead_ribozyme from 1 species